AACAAUUUCACGCUAUAUUGAUUAUUGAUUGUUGAUUUUUGACUUGAUUGACUACCUUAUAUAUUUAAUUGAUUUAUUUGGUUUGAUUGCUUGUUUGUAAUAUUUACUGAGAGGUUUUUUUUGCGGGUAAGAGAUUUUUAAGAGGUGAGUAAAAUUUAGCAAAAAAAAGGACUUGUUAGCAGGACAUUAGAGAUGAGGAUGAACAGUGUCUACUCUGGCAGCGAGGACGAGAUGAGAAGACAGAUGAGCUGGGCCGAGCAAGUCGACAUUGCUUACCCCCUGGAUGAGUGCUGGAGUGAGAGCUGCCUGACAGAUCCCCAUGUCUGCAUGGAGGACCACCUCAUACCCAGGAAGAGGUCAGGAGAGAAGAGGCCUAAGCACGUCACCUUUGACCUGAAUCCCCAUGUCUGCAUGGAGGACCACCUCAUACCCAGGAAGAGGUCAGGAGAGAGGAGGCCUAAGCACGUCACCUUUGACCUGAGUUGGCUGGACACCGUUGGGCCGGAUUGGCUCAGGAACGCAGAGGAGCUGACCCCAAAGGGGCAGAUAGACAUAAUAUCAAGUCUCCUGUAUACAGGUCAGUCAGAAAUAUUAUCUCUUUCUUUGUUUAUUUAUUUAUUUAUUUCACUGGGGGU
rnacentral:lncRNA from 1 species